UCACCAGACACAGACCAGGUUAUCAACAAGUCACACCAGUGUAAGCCUACACCAGACACAGACCAGGUUAUCAACAAGUCACACCAGUGUAAGCCUACACCAGACACAGACCAGGUUAUCAACAAGUCACACCAGUGUAAGCCUACACCAGACACAGACCAGGUUAUCAACAAGUCACACCAGUGUAAGCCUACACCAGACACAGACCAGGUUAUCACCAGACACAGACCAGGUUAUCAACAAGUCACACCAGUGUAAGCCUACACCAGACACAGACCAGGUUAUCAACAAGUCACACCAGUGUAAGCCUACACCAGACACAGACCAGGUUAUCAACAAGUCACACCAGUGUAAGCCUACACCAGACACAGACCAGGUUAUCAACAAGUCACACCAGUGUAAGCCUACACCAGACACAGACCAGGUUAUCAACAAGUCACACCAGUGUAAGCCUACACCAGACACAGA